UGGGGAAUAUUGCACAAUGGGGGAAACCCUGAUGCAGCGACGCCGCGUGAGUGAUGAAGGCCUUCGGGUCGUAAAGCUCUGUCGUAUGGGACUAACAAAAUGAAGGUACCAUGCAAGAAAGGAUCGGCUAACUUCGUGCCAGCAGCCGCGGUAAGACGAGGGAUCCUAGCGUUGUUCGGAAUUAUUGGGCGUAAAGCGGGUGUAGGCGGACUUAUAAGUCGGGUGUGAAAUCCCAGGGCUCAACCCUGGAAGUGCACUUGAUACUGCAAGUCUUGAGUGUGGUAGAGGCUAUUAGAAUUCCUGGUGUAGUGGUGAAAUACGUAGAUAUCAGGAGGAAUACCGGAGGCGAAGGCGGAUAGCUGGGCCAACACUGACGCUGAGACCCGAAAGCGUGGGGAUCAAACAGGAUUAGAUACCGUCCCUGAGCGGGCUGGCAAGGCGCAU
rnacentral:rRNA from 1 species